rnacentral:rRNA from 1 species
UACAGAGGUGGCAAGCGUUGCUCGGUAUCACUGGGCUUAAAGGGCGCGUAGGCGGUGCGGUACGGUUUCGGUGAAAUCCCUCGGCCCAACCGAGGAACAGCCGGGGCUACGGCCGCGCUAGACGGCAUCAGGGGACAGUGGAACUCCCGGUGGAGCGGUGAAAUGCGUAGAUAUCGGGAGGAACACCAAUGGCGAAGGCAGCUCGCUGGGACGUGACUGACGCUGAGACGCGAAAGCGUGGGGAGCAAACAGG